UGGGGAAUUUUGGACAAUGGGGGAAACCCUGAUCCAGCCAUCCCGCGUGUGCGAUGAAGGCCUUCGGGUUGUAAAGCACUUUUGGCAGGAAAGAAACGUCGCGGGUUAAUACCCCGCGAAACUGACGGUACCUGCAGAAUAAGCACCGGCUAACUACGUGCCAGCAGCCGCGGUAAUACGUAGGGUGCAAGCGUUAAUCGGAAUUACUGGGCGUAAAGCGUGCGCAGGCGGUUCGGAAAGAAAGAUGUGAAAUCCCAGAGCCUAACUUUGGAACUGCAUUUUUAACUACCGGGCUAGAGUGUGUCAGAGGGAGGUGGAAUUCCGCGUGUAGCAGUGAAAUGCGUAGAUAUGCGGAGGAACACCGAUGGCGAAGGCAGCCUCCUGGGAUAACACUGACGCUCAUGCACGAAAGCGUGGGGAGCAAACAGGAUUAGAUACCCUGGUAGUCCACGCCCUAAACGAUGUCAACUAGCUGUUGGGGGCCUUCGGGCCUUGGUAGCGCAGCUAACGCGUGAAGUUGACCGCCUGGGGAGUACGGUCGCAAGAUUAAAACUCAAAGGAAUUGACGGGGUCAUA
rnacentral:rRNA from 1 species